rnacentral:antisense_RNA from 1 species
GGCCUGCGUGUUCGCUGUCCCUGUUCCUGUUCCUGGAGCACUGUUCCUGCUGCCCUUUGCCCAGCCAUUGCCUUGCAUCCCUCAUUGGGAGGCCUUUGGUGGCCAUGUGCCCUCUCUCUCCGGCCUCCGUUGUUUCCCUCCCAGAAUCUGCCACCAUUGAUAAUGAUCUUCUGAACCUGCCUCUUUACAGCGUUCCCUGAGGACAGAAUGCAAGCUUCCUGCGGCCAGUGAAGCCCACGAACGUAUCCUCAGGGCCCAGCACAAGGACUGGCACACAGGGACCCCGACCACGACUUGCUGAAAGAUACUCAGGCUGAGGGAAGCCAGCUUCCAUGUUGUAAGGAUGCUGAAGCAGCACUGUGGAGAUCCAUGUGGCAAGGAGCUGAGGCCUCGGCCAGCAGCCAGCGCCAGUCUGCCAGCGAGAUGAGCAAGCCGUCUUGCAGCCAAUUCAACGAAUUGUUAUCUCUGGACCACUGGGCUCACAUCGUGAACAGCUGCUCCACCCUCUGUCUUUCACCAGCAAGUUUUUCUGGUAACCAAGACCACAUAGGUCUCACUUAAGCCAUCUUCACCAACUACCAACUAUUAAACUGGUUAAUUCAUCUUUCAGAUCAGAAACAAGAGGCCAGGAGUAAAAACUGUGCCAAUCAGAGAAGAAUUACCUGGCCACCAAAUUACCAGUCACUCACUCAUCUCAACUCUCCUCCCUGGCUCCUUUACUUUAAAGCUUAGGUCUGCAAUGGUUAUUUUAUAUAGAAGAGCAAAAUAUGCUCCUUUCAAAUUUCACUUUUUUUUCUUUUUUGAAAUUAAAACCAAUUUUGUUUAGAGACAGGGUUGCACUCUGUCACCCAGGAUGGAGUACAGUGGCAUGAUCAUAGCUCACCGUAACCUGGGCUCAAGUGAUCCUCACACCUCAGCCUCCCGAGUAGCUGGUACAGGAGUGUGCCACCAUGCUUGGCUUCACUUUAUUUUGUUCACGUAACUUUUUCCAGAGACAUCUUACAAGAGCCUGUUUUCCAUCCUAACAGUACGACGUAACUCCAGACAUAGGCUUUAGA